UACGGAGGAUCCGAGCGUUAUCCGGAUUUAUUGGGUUUAAAGGGUGCGUAGGCGGAAAUGUAAGUCAGUGGUGAAAUCCUGCAGCUUAACUGUAGAAUAGCCGUUGAAACUGUGUUUCUUGAGUACAUUUGAGGUAGGCGGAAUGUGGUGUGUAGCGGUGAAAUGCAUAGAUAUACCACAGAACACCGAUUGCGAAGGCAGCUUACUAAACUGUCACUGACGCUGAUGCACGAAAGCGUGGGGAGCAAACCAGGAUUAGA
rnacentral:rRNA from 1 species